CCCUGAGAACGUGACCUGAGCCAAAGGCAGAUGCUUAACUGACUGAGACGCCCAGGGGUGCUGGGGCCUAGACCUUCCCUGGCCCCUGAUGGCCAGGUGGAGUCCUCAGAACUGGAAGCCUGAAUCAAAGAGUCCUCCCUCCCUGAAGCUGGAGGAGGAGGAGCCAAAAAUUCCACAGGAGGACUGGGGUUCACAUUCGUGAGGAGACACCUAGGAAGGAACAUGGGACCGACGUCCUGAACUAGGAAGAGGAGAGAAAAGUUUGAGCAGAUGAGGAUCAAGCUGGGGAAGUGGGGGUGGAGGAAGUGGCCAUGAGUCCAGAAAAUGCAGGCGGCCUCUAGAAGCUGCAAAGGGCAAGGAAGUUGAUUCUCUAGAGUCUCCUGAAGGAAGAAGCCCUGCCAACACCUUGAGUUUAAUCCAGUGACACCCAUGUCUGACUCUGGACCUCUAGAACUGGGAGAUAGCAGAUGUGUGUGAUUGUAAACCAUUACGUUUGUGAUGUUCUGUCCCAGCAGCCAUCGGAGCCUCCCGUCCAGCCUUUCAGAUACAUACUGCCUGGAAUGAACGUGUCCAGGGUCUGGCUCACAAAACUACACUUCUCAGGAUUGGCCUGGAGGUGGCGUCCCUGCUGUUGGUCUGGAACCACCGGACCCGACUCAGCUGAGAAAACUAAGGCUCAGAGAGGGAACAAAUGAGGCAGAAACUGUUCUGAAAUUUCUCCUGGGCCCUGUCAAGAUCAACAGCCUGGCCAUGGAGUACCAGUGACCACGUGACCCAUGUGGCUUAUUAACUGAGUAUCUGUCCCACUUGGCCAUAAAGUGCCCGGUAGUGCCCUGUUCCUCAAGAGGACAUGGACCAUAUAAGAGCAGGCCUGAGCACUGCUCGGAGAAGACACAACCAUGUGACUCCAAAUUUUAUUCAUGAGAGAGAGAGAGAGAGUGCACAAGCAGGUGGAGAGGCAGAGGGAGAACGAGAAGCAGACUCCUCGCUAAGGCUAACGCAGGACUCGAUCCCAGGAACUGGAGAUUGCAACCUGAGCCGAAGGCAGACUCCCAACCGUCUGAGCCACCCAGGCUCCUGAAUUUGGAUUUGCUUUUCCCACCAGUGAUGCUUUUACCAUCACCAUCCUCCUACAUGGGUUUAAUGAAGACCUUAUUUGCCACCACAGUAUCUUCUUUUUUUUCUUAAGAUUCUGUUUAUUUAUUUGAGAGAGAAAGAGAGGAUGAGCGUGGGGAGGGGCAGAGGCAGGAGACACAGACUCCAUGCUGAGCACAGAGCCUGACAUGGGACUUAAUCUCAGGACCCCGAGAUCAUAACCUGAGCCCAAGUCAGACGCUUACCGACUGAGCCAUCCAGGCGCCCCUCGCCAUCACAGUGUCUUAUACAUACAUCAUGGCACCUGUGCUGGUCAGUUUGGGCUGUUAGAACAAAUUGCCAUAGCCUGGGCGGCUUUUAAACAACAGAAAUUUAUUUCUCAGAGUUCUGGAACGUGGAAGUCUGAGAUCAGGAUGCCAGCGUGUUAGGUUCUGGUGAGAGACCUCUUCUGGGUUGGAGACUUUUUGACUUCUCAAUAUGUCCUCACAUGGUGGGGAGCAGAAACGGGAAGGAAGCUCUCUCAUGACUUUAUAAGGGCACUAAUCCUACUCCUGAGAGCUUCACCCUCAUGACCUCAUCUAAUCCUAAUUACCUAAGGCUCCAUUUCCUGAUAUCACAUUGGGAGGUAAGGUUUCAACAUAUGAAUUUUGUGGGUAUGCAAACAUUGGGUCCGUAACAGCAUCUGACUAAGGAACUAACUUUACAGUGAAAGGAGUGAAGAAACUGGCUAUCCUAUUAGAUUCACUAGCCCUACCGUGGACCCCAACAACUGGAAGCAGCUGGCUUUGUAGUGGAAUGGCCCGUGGAAGACAGCUACUGAAGCAGCUGGAAAACAACAGCUAAAGAGCUUGGAUUCCACUUAUACUUGGACCCAGCAUUUCUGGAGCUGACCUUGACCCCUGUGAGUUGAAUACCUGAUUUGGUCUGGCGGUGCCUGACAUUUCAUCAUCAUAAUUCCUUCGCUGGGCUGAACUGAGACCUGGUGACUUGUCAGGUAAAGAAAUUAAAAUUAUUUCCCCAUAAGAUAACACAAACACACAACAUUUCGAAGUAGAUUUUAGAAAGUCAUCCUACUGCUUCUGAGAAACUGGGAAAGUUCUUGCCGAGGUGGUAGAGUUUCUAGUGGGACACUGAGAAAGGUGGAGGAGGACUGGAAUGCAGGUGCGUUCUGGGUUUUCUCUGAGGCUUUUCGGAUGGGCAUUUUAUCCAAUGAGCUCAGAGUGACUUUCCCUCGGGGUCUGGCAGCCCAGGGUGUGGUUCCUGGCACAGCCCCUGAGCAGUUGUCAUUGGGAUAAAUUUUAGGACUCUCUAGAACCAAGCCUUCAGAGUUUCACAUUUCUGGGAGAUCGUCUCCCCGGCCCCAGUUAAUUUCCCUCCCGCGCUGGUGCAGGCGGUCCCCCUGCGCGACAUCCUCCGACUCUUUCAGCAUCAGUUUCCCCCAAGGGGGUGGGCGGGGGACCAGUAUGGGGCUGCUCCUGACCUCCUCUUGGAACCGGGGAAGAGGAGACGCGGGGGGCAGGACCUGCCGAGUCCGGGAUCAGCGGAAGCUCCGCGGAAGCGGCUGUCUCCGAAGGCUUGUGGCCCGCGGGAGCAGAGCGCCCCUCUCCCCCGCGCCGCCUGCGUCC